rnacentral:rRNA from 1 species
AUUGAACGCUGGCGGCAGGCCUAACACAUGCAAGUCGAACGGUAACAGGAAGCAGCUUGCUGCUUCGCUGACGAGUGGCGGACGGGUGAGUAAUGUCUGGGAAGCUGCCUGAUGGAGGGGGAUAACUACUGGAAACGGUAGCUAAUACCGCAUAAUGUCGCAAGACCAAAGAGGGGGACCUUCGGGCCUCUUGCCAUCGGAUGUGCCCAGAUGGGAUUAGCUUGUUGGUGGGGUAACGGCUCACCAAGGCGACGAUCCCUAGCUGGUCUGAGAGGAUGACCAGCCACACUGGAACUGAGACACGGUCCAGACUCCUACGGGAGGCAGCAGUGGGGAAUAUUGCACAAUGGGCGCAAGCCUGAUGCAGCCAUGCCGCGUGUAUGAAGAAGGCCUUCGGGUUGUAAAGUACUUUCAGCGGGGAGGAAGGGAGUAAAGUUAAUACCUUUGCUCAUUGGCGUUACCCGCAGAAGAAGCACCGGCUAACUCCGUG